GGCCAACGUGGGUCCCGUGCCAUUGGCACCCCAGUGCACGCGGUCCGACGCCGGGUCGAGCGUGGCCCGGCAUGCCGCCGCCAUGGUGCGGCUUGUGAGGAGCAGUGCCAUCCAAUCACCAGGGUGCGGGCGAAACAGACUCACGAUCCUGCACACCAUUUCGGUGGGCAGAGCGUCGGUGAGCGAUAUGCGCUCGUCGUCAUCAGCAUGAUCCAUCGGGCGCGUGCCGUUGGUAGGAUCGGCGCCUGUUUCCGUUGUUGUGCCGGACAACCUCUUUGCUCACCUCGGUUAUUUGGCUUGUCGCGUCCACCCAAAUCCUAGAGGCGGCAGGCGACGCAAAGACUUUGAAAAACUGUACGCAGACGGCCGCGAGGCGUAGAGCAGGCGAUGGCGGCGGCACACCAGGACGGCUCGGGCAGUGGGGGCAAUCGAUCGACCGGCGUCCUCCCUGUUGGCGUCGCGCGGGCUCGGUUUUUUCCCAGUCGGCCCCAUCAUUCCGUGCGCUGGAGGCACCAUGGCACCCGACGCGGCUCACGGCCUUGAGGGGGCGCCCACGCGCCUGGCCCCUUUUUUUCCCCUCACCACCUUGGUGUCGCUGCCCGUGUGCCCCCCACCGCAACAAUGUCGCACAGCAUCAAAAAAAAUGUGGUCCCGACCCAUCUUGCGCCAG
rnacentral:lncRNA from 1 species